rnacentral:rRNA from 1 species
AAGUCGAACGGUAACAGGUCUUCGGAUGCUGACGAGUGGCGAACGGGUGAGUAAUACAUCGGAACGUGCCUAGUAGUGGGGGAUAACUACUCGAAAGAGUAGCUAAUACCGCAUGAGAUCUACGGAUGAAAGCAGGGGACCUUCGGGCCUUGUGCUACUAGAGCGGCUGAUGGCAGAUUAGGUAGUUGGUGGGGUAAAGGCUUACCAAGCCUGCGAUCUGUAGCUGGUCUGAGAGGGCGACCAGCCACACUGGGACUGAGACACGGCCCAGACUCCUACGGGAGGCAGCAGUGGGGAAUUUUGGACAAUGGGCGAAAGCCUGAUCCAGCAAUGCCGCGUGCAGGAUGAAGGCCCUCGGGUUGUAAACUGCUUUUGUACGGAACGAAAAGCCUGGGGCUAAUAUCCCCGGGUCAUGACGGUACCGUAAGAAUAAGCACCGGCUAACUACGUGCCAGCAGCCGCGGUAAUACGUAGGGUGCAAGCGUUAAUCGGAAUUACUGGGCGUAAAGCGUGCGCAGGCGGUUUUGUAAGACAGUGGUGAAAUCCCCGGGCUCAACCUGGGAACUGCCAUUGUGACUGCAAGGCUAGAGUGCGGCAGAGGGGGAUGGAAUUCCGCGUGUAGCAGUGAAAUGCGUAGAUAUCCGGAGGACACCGAUGGCGAAGGCAAUCCCCUGGGCCUGCACUGACGCUCAUGCACG